rnacentral:rRNA from 1 species
CCCAAUUGUUGGACUGCGGGAGAUACUGUCUACUAGAGAACGGGAGAAGCCGACGGUACUCUCAGGGUAGGAGUGAAAUCCUAUAAUCCUGGGAGGACCACCAGUGGCGUAGCUGUCGGCUAAACGUGUCUGACGGUGAGGGACGAAAGCUUGGGGAGCGAACCGGAUUAAUACCCGGGUAGUCCAAGCUGUAAACGAUGCGGGCUAGUGUUGGGGUGGCUACGUGCCACUUCAGUGCCGCAGGAAGCCGUUAAGCCCGCCGCCUGGGGAGUACGGUCGCAAGGCUGAAGCUUAAAGGAAUUGGCGGGGGAGCACCACAAGGGGUGAAGCUUGCGGUUUAAUUGGAGUCAACGCCGGGAACCUUACCGGGGGCGACAGCAGAAUGAAGGCCAAUUUAAGGUCUUGCUAACGAGCUGAAGGAGGUGCAUGGCCGUCGCCAGUUCGUGCCGUGAGGUGUCCUGUCAAGUCAGGCAACGAUCGAGACCCACAUCCAUUGUUGCGGCUGAGGAGGUUUCUCCGAGGAGCAGGACUGUGGAGACUGCCGCCGAUAAGGCGGAGGAAGGAGUGGGCCACGGCAGGUCAGUAUGCCCCGAAUCCCUCGGGCCACACGCGAGCUGCAAUGGCAGGGACAGUGAGCUUCCAACUUCGAAAGGAGAAGGUAAUCCCUAAACCCUGCUCAUUGGGAUUGAGGGCUGCAACCCGGCCUCAUGGAAUCAUGGAAUCCCCUAGUAAUCGCGCAUCAUCACUGCAGCGGUGAAAUACGUCCC